rnacentral:rRNA from 1 species
UUAGGGGGGUGUCCUUCCAUCUGGAAAGAAUCGUGGAGACGAGGUGCUGCAGUGGCUGUCGUCAGCUCGUGUCGUGAGUGUUGGGGUUAAAGUCCCCGCAACGAGCGCAACCCUUGCCUUUAGUUGCCAGCAGUUCGGCUGGGCACUCUAAAGGGACUGCCGGUGUUAAACCGGAGGAAGGUGGGGAUGACGUCAAGUCCUCAUGGCCUUUAUGACCAGGGCUACACACGUACUACAAUGGCCGAUACAAAGGGCAGCGACACUGCGAGGUGAAGCCAAUCCCGUAAAAUCGGUCUCAGUCCGGAUUGGAGUCUGCAACUCGACUCCAUGAAGUUGGAAUCGCUAGUAAUCGUGGAUCAGCAUGCCACGGUGAAUACGUUCCCGGGCCUU